GGGUAGAGUAAUGCGUGACCAACCUGCCCCAUGCUCCAGAAUAGCUCUUGGAAACGGGUGGUAAUGCUGGAUGCUCCAACUUGACGCAUGUCUUGUUGGGAAAGUGUUUAGUGGCAUGGGAUGGGGUCGCGUCCUAUCAGCUUGUAGGCGGGGUAAUGGCCCACCUAGGCUUCGACGGGUAGCCGGCCUGAGAGGGCGGACGGCCACAUUGGGACUGAGAUACGGCCCAGACUCCUACGGGAGGCAGCAGUG
rnacentral:rRNA from 1 species